rnacentral:lncRNA from 1 species
UCACAGUGUCACAUGGCUCUGGCUCUUCCACAAGCUGUGUGCUGCUCUCAGUCUGGGGACAGUUGGGUUAAUACUUCUUUGCUGGACUCUAAUGAGCUGAGUCCGUUGAACCUCAGUCUUUUCUUCAGAAAAAAAGGAGACUACACUGCAGCAAGUCCUGGAAAGCAAACGUGCAAGUAAGAACGCACCAGAGUCGGCAUAACCUAGAGAGAAUGUGGAAGAGAAGGCAGAUGAUGUCCUAGAAAGAAGAAGAGAAGCCUGAGACUUCUUGCCUACAGAGACCCCCUACGAAGACUAGUUAAAUCUUCCCCCUGUCCUGUACAUAAUAAAUACGCUAACAUUCCGUCCUUGCUUGCCGUAGUUGGUCAUUCCAUCCGAGUGCACACAUCAGACCUGAGCCCAGCUUUUUGUACUUGUUUCUGUGCAUCAUCCUUUCUUCGUUCCCUCACCACCCCAGUCAGAAUUCCA